ensembl:lncRNA
UUUUAAUAUUACAUAUGUGUGCAAUCCGUUGUGUCCGACUCUGCAACUUCAUGAACUGCUCCUCUGUCUAUGGAAUUUUUCAGGUGUUUGCCACUGGAAUAACUUGGAGUCAGCCGGCCGUGUAUGCUACUUUCUGCCAAAGACUUUUGGGCCAUGGGGUUUCUUCACUACAAAAUACACUGCCGAAAGAUAACAGCAACAGAAGUCAUGUCAUGAAGCCGAGGAUCACUGGGGGAAAUGCGAAUCCACAGGCCUUCAGAUCUGAGGCAGCAUUCUCAAAUGCUGAAGUCAUCUCCUAUCCACCCGAGGCCCUCAGAUCUGCACAUCGAUGUAUGAAAUUGGAGGCUAAUAUGCAGGAAAGGAUAGCAGAUCUGAUGCCAACCAGAAGAUGCAUGAAUGUCAGGGGAGACAAUGGUAAAGUUGCGAGGUAGACUGUUUAUAUUUGGGGGGGCUGCGUUCCUUCCUCUCUCCUGUUUCAAAACUUCCCCCCAUUCUUGGCUAUUUUCCCACUUUAUAUUCCCACUUCUUUCCAUUUAUUGUGUUACUAAUUAUUGAGUGCAAACAUUUAACAUCACAAUUUAGCAUCAAAAUAAGAUUGUGUACACAGAGAUGAAACAGAUCAACAGGAUCAAAAACAUGUCAGUGUCCAAACAUGCAGGAUGUGUGACCGUGGCUUGAAGAACAUCCUGGAGAUGAUUGCGGAGCCUUUUUUUAAGAAAUGCUGUAACAUCAACCCUCUUGAUGGCAUAGAAGAUAACUUUGUGUGGAAAAUCAGCCUCUAAUGACUCUGAGUAGAAAAGUAUUAUAGAAAAGUCAUACUCUGUACGUGAAGAAGUUUUAGGAAUACCUUACCUUAUUUCACUUAUGACUUCCCUUUUGCAUAUGCACAAGAGUUUAUUUGAUGAAAGUUUGUAUCUAAAUGAGGAUUCUUUUAAUAUGCUUAAAAUAAAAAUUCAAAGCCUUGAUCA